UACGUAGGGUGCAAGCGUUGUCCGGAAUUAUUGGGCGUAAAGAGCUCGUAGGCGGUUUGUCGCGUCUGCUGUGAAAACUCGGGGCUUAACCCCGGGCCUGCAGUGGGUACGGGCAGACUAGAGUGCGGUAGGGGAGACUGGAAUUCCCGGUGUAGCGGUGAAAUGCGCAGAUAUCGGGAGGAACACCAGUAGCGAAGGCGGCACUCUGGGCCGGUACUGACGCUGAGGAGCGAAAGCGUGGGGAGCAAACAGG
rnacentral:rRNA from 1 species